rnacentral:rRNA from 1 species
UACGGAGGGUGCAAGCGUUAUCCGGAUUCACUGGGUUUAAAGGGUGCGUAGGAGGGCAGGUAAGUCAGUGGUGAAAUCUCCAAGCUUAACUUGGAAACUGCCGUUGAUACUAUCUGUCUUGAAUAUUGUGGAGGUGAGCGGAAUAUGUCAUGUAGCGGUGAAAUGCUUAGAUAUGACAUAGAACACCAAUUGCGAAGGCAGCUCACUACUCAAUCAUUGACUCUGAGGCACGAAAGCGUGGGGAGCGAACAGG